UGAGGAAUUUUGCGCAAUGGGAGCAAUCCUGACGCAGCAACGCCGCGUGGGUGAUGAAGGCCUUCGGGUCGUAAAGCCCUGUCAGGUGGGAAGAAUGUCCCGGGACUGAACAGGUUCCGGGAGUGACGGUACCACCAGAGGAAGCACCGGCUAACUCCGUGCCAGCAGCCGCGGUAAUACGGAGGGUGCAAGCGUUAUUCGGAAUUACUGGGCGUAAAGCGCGUGUAGGCGGUCCCGCACGUCUGAGGUGAAAGCCCCGGGCUUAACCCGGGAAGUGCAUUGGAAACUGUGGGACUUGAGUGCUGGAGAGGAGGGGGGAAUUCCCGGUGUAGAGGUGAAAUUCGUAGAGAUCGGGAGGAAUAUCAGUGGCGAAGGCGCCCAUCUGGACGGUAACUGACGCUGAGACGCGAAAGCGUGGGGAGCAAACA
rnacentral:rRNA from 1 species